rnacentral:rRNA from 1 species
CAGUAGCCGCGGUAAUACGGAGGGUGCAAGCGUUAAUCGGAAUUACUGGGCGCAAAGCGUGCGCAGGCGGUCCGCUAAGACAGAUGUGAAAUCCCCGGGCUUAACCUGGGAACUGCAUUUGUGACUGGCGGGCUAGAGUACGGUAGAGGGGGAUGGAAUUCCGCGUGUAGCAGUGAAAUGCGUAGAUAUGCGGAGGAACACCGAUGGCGAAGGCAAUCCCCUGGACCUGUACUGACGCUCAUGCACGAAAGCGUGGGGAGCAAACAGGAUUAGAUACCCCAGUAGUCCCUGUCUCUUAUAC